GCGGGGCCAGGGCCGCGGGGCGGAGCCGGGACAGGGUCCACGGCAGCCGCCAUCUUGGCUGAGGGCAAAGACGCUCCUGGCGCUCCCGUCUUUCGGCUUGCCUCAGUUGCCACUGCCAUCUUGGAUCAGGGGCGGUUGACGGUGGAUUCACUUCCCAUCAGCCCUUGAGGCUGCAGGGACCAGCCCUUUGUACAGUGGAGAAGCCCAGGCGGCCUAGAAUCCAGUGUCGUCCGUGAGUGCUUGGCUGGUGUUCAAGUGCAUCUUCCAGCCUGAGACCGCGUGGACUCGCUCAUCGUGAGGGCGAGAGGAGGAUAAGCCCAUUGGGCUGUCGGCUGAGAGUGAGGUGCGGGCAGAUUGCUGAUGAAAUCCUUGGCAUCGUCGGAGAUCUCAUCGAAUGCCUCGUCGUCGAAGUCCCAGGUGGCUGAGGUAACGUUGGCCAAGGUUUCGUUAUCGUUGUCUCCCAUGAAGGGGGAAAGGCCACUGACUCUGGAGAGACAAGAGCAGGACAGCAGGUGUGGCUAGGAGAGGGCGCGACGACCAGAUGAGGGAAUUGAGGCACAGCCCAGGCUCAAGUCACCUGCCCAAAGAUUCACAGCCAGUGAGAUUGGAAGCCAGGUAUCUGCCUCUAGAGCCUGUCCUCUUAAAUGCUAUACUAUCCUAACAUUUCUGUAAAGAUGAAGUAAAUUGCAGUGUUCAGCACUGGCACCAGGCCUGGUCCACAGUAAGGAGGCGGUCCAUGCCCGGAGAUCUCAUGCAGUUCUGCUGGGUUCCCUCCACUGCCUUACCAAGCUGUGAGUGCAGGAAUGACUUUGUGACCAGCAGCUUAAGCCAAAUAAACUUUAUAAGGUAAAGAAUUUCAAAACAAAAUAGAGCAGAUUUGUGGCUUACUGACCUUACCUCUCACCUCUGUGCACCUCACCUUCAUAGCAACAACUCACCCCACUGUUCAUGAGGGCCUUGUGAGUCAGCCUCAUGGGUGUUAGACCAGCACAGUUGCCCACAGUCCCACCCUUAGACAGGCCCUGUGCUUGGUUUAAUGCUCUGCUGCUGUCGUCUCAAGAUUCUCAAUAAGGUUUGAACAAGUGGCCCCACCUUUCAUGUUGCAAAUUGUGUAGCUGUUCCUGCCCUGAUCUCAGCUGAGCCCCAUGAGAUGGGUCUGGGGGCCAGGCGUGGUGGCUCAUGCCUGUAAUCCCAGCACUUUGGGAGGCCAAAAUGGAUGGAUCACCUGAGGUCAGGAGUUUGAGGCUAGCCUGGCCAACACGGUGAAGUCCUGUCUCUACUAAAAAUACAAAAAUUAGCUGGGCAUGGUGGCAAGCACCUGUAAUCCCAGCUACUCGGGAGGCUGAGGCAGGAGAAUUGCUUGAACCCUGGAGGUGGAGGUUGCAGUGAGCCAAUAUCGCACCAUUGCACUCCAACCUGGGCAACAAGCGAAACUCAAUCUCAAAAAAAAAAAAAAAAAGAGAGAUGGGUCUGGGGCCCUCCUGCCAUCAACCUGUCAAGUUAGGGCUUUACCAAUGUCCCUUCUCCCAAAUGCUUAUGAAUCCAUCAUCAUAAGCCAAGCACUGACAGCUU
rnacentral:lncRNA from 1 species